GGGGAAUUAGCUCAAAUGUUAGAGCGCUUGCUUCGCAUGCGAGAAGUAUUGGGAUCGAUGCCUACUUUCUCCA